rnacentral:lncRNA from 1 species
CCGCGCGCGCGACCUUCCGUCGACACCGCGACGACGAUGCCCCCCGCGGUGUUCAUCCCCACCGCGAGCACGCGUCCCGCGGCUCCCGCGGGCGCGCGAUCGUCCGGCGCGAAUCACCACGGGUCCAGAGGCGGCCAUCACCCCGGGGGUUCGCGAUCGGGCUCAUCCGGCACCUCCGCGGGCCUCGGCGGUGCGCCGCGGCACGACCACCCCGCCGCCGCGCACCUCCACGUCUCGCACGCGUCGCACCGGAUCUCCCGUCGCAGCGCGCGCAUCGCGCACCAGCACGCCGCCGC